CUUUUAUUAUCUAAUGAUUCUAAGAAUGACACUUAGGCAUCCAAGGUCAGAGGGGAAACUUGAAGCCUGUCAUGGAGUCAGUUUGGUUCAGACAGGUGUCCUUUCAAAGACAUGGGAGUGGGUCAGCUUUCCGGAUUUCUCCACACAGGCACUGAAGUGGAAAUGGAGUACCAGCGUUUCCUCAUCUGAUUAUUCAGAGCACAGAAUCAGUUCUUCACCUCACUCAGAACAUUAAUCUGUCUACUCAAGCUAAUCCACUCCCCAGUGGCAAAAGUCCCAAGAAAAUGCUGUUACCUACUUCUGCCUUCCAAUAUCACACUGAACUGAACAAAGAAAUGAGCAAAAAUUUAAGAUAAUUAUCUGCAGGAACAGCAAAAACUAGAAAGGUCUCUUCAAAAGGCCUGAAAAUUUGAUUAAUUUCUGGGAGAUAUGAGGCUUGUCAGCCUUAUAAGAUAAGACUGUUGUGCCGUCAGCUCAUUAUCCAACUUAAGCAAAAGGCCACUUGGUAAAAAAGUGGGCGGGUUUCACUCAGUGAGUAUGUGUGUCCAGGUCCUGUGAGAAGCAACCUGGGAGGGAAAUUGGCAUGGAAUCCAAGGGAGCAAUAGAUCACGAUUCAAACCUGACCCUGAAUGAAGGACGGAGGAAGGAAGAAAGCAAGGUUGGGUGGAAAUGUCACCGACUGAAGGUCAAAGGAAGGUUCAGCCAAAGUUGCUGCCAGAGACAUCCUGCUUCUCCCCGGAACAAGCCUGCCUUUGAAUCCCUGCCAUAGUCAUUGGCAAGGGCAGCCUGUGGGAAGUGUGACUUUCAUUAAAAUGUAGCCAAGGAAGUUAGAGUACA